AUGGGGCGUUGGGUGAUUUUGCCGAUGGAUGAAAACACCAAGGCCCUGUGUUUGCUCCAGUUUCACUUCAGCACCCUCUGGAUUUACAGCUUGGCCCAGGUCUGUCGUCAUCGCGGCCCAGAUCCUGUGGAGAAGCGAGUUAUUGUAAACCUCAAGUAUGCACUUGGGAAUCUCCGCUUCUGGGAAGAUUUGAGCUCUUCCCAUAAAGAGCUGAAAGGGACUGUGACUAGAAACCAUCUCUCUAAUCAGCGAAUGCUGGGACUGAAUGAAUUGAAAGAGGUGCCUUUCUGCUUUAAUUUUUUCUCCACCCCCUAACUCCACAUUUAAGGGGGGGAAAAAAAGCAUCUCUUUUUUUUUUUUUUUUUUUUUUGAGACUAUACCAGACUAGUUAAUAGAACAGGAUAAUUCUGGAUACAAGGCUCUGCAAAAUACGAGCCGAAUAAUGAGAGGCAUUUGAAUGGAUGUCAUUGUCUUUCACAAAGCAUGCUUUUGUCUCAUUGUUUUCACCUAAGACUUCUUGCAAAACAAUGGGCUUUGAAAGUGCAAGAUCGGCUGCUUAACUCUUGAAGAACUGACAGACAUCACACCUUUUCCAGGAGGAUUGUGACUGGAGCUUCAAUCAUUUUUUUGCCCCCGGUUUCUGUGCAGUAAGUGUGACAAUUAGAUCCGUUAGGUGACUAUCCUAACCCAAUUCCAGUGGUGCCCGAAGGAACUAAAAAUGUCCUAUGGUCAAACUCUAGAGUCCUGCUUCUAAGGAGCCUAGUGUCGAGGGGGAGGUAACAUCGCCCCAGAAACGAGACUCCCCCAAAACCAUUGCUCGAAAUUUCUUUCAUCUGAAAAGGCUGAGACCUUUCUAUGAUACUACACUUUGGGUGAAACAAACAAGCAAAAAGGCCAUUUCUAAAUAUAGUCAGCUUUUGUAGGCUAUAUUUAGUCAUGUUUCUACUUGGUAAAAAUAUCAGAAUGCAUUUAAAUUUUCACCGUGAUUUUUUUUUUCUUUCACUUCCCCUUAUUUAAAGCUCUGAUGACACAAACAUUAAGGAAUAUAAUCAGAAAACCUGAGGAACUCUUCAUGUGGUUCUUCACUUAACAAAAAUAAUUGCUGCGGACAAGCCUCCACUUUGAAUGCGUUUUCAGUCCAGUCUUUUGUUCUUGGAGCUCUCCAGGGACUCUCCACACAGAAGGAAAAGAGGUGACUCUAUUCUGACAUGUAUAUUGCAUUGUAGGGCAAUGCAUAUGAAACAAAACAGAUCAUCAAAGUACCUGUUUUGGAGGGCUCUUGUGAACUGGGAAGGCUUUAAUACUCCUGCAGCGUUUCAUCAGACUCUAGCAAGAGAUGAGUGCUCAAUAAACGUUAGCGAUCUUUAUUAGGAGUAGGAGCAGUGCUUGCAGAGAGUACGCACAAAUCUCUUUGCAUCCACAUGUAGGCUUGAUGCUAUAAAGGCGAAAACUUGAAAUAAUAGUCUCCGUAUUUUUAGCAUCUAAGCAUCUAAAGAUGCUUAUUAGUGGACAGAUCCAAACUGAAGCAAGAGAGCUGCCUUCUGUUUUUUGGGGUUUUUUUUGUUUGUUUGUUUGUUUUUGUUUUUGUUUUUGUGAUGAAAUACACACAACCUAAAACUUACCGUUUGAGCCAUUUUUAAGUGUACAGUUCAGUGGCAUUGGGUACACUUGCCUCGUUGUAUAGCUGUCACCACCAUCCAUUUCCAGAAUAUUUUUAUCUCCCCCAGCUGAAACUCUGGAUCCAUUAAACAGUAACUUCCCAUCCUAUCCUCCCUGCCCCCCAGCCCCGGGCAAUCACUAUUCUACCUACUGUCUGUAUGAAUUUCUCUAGGCUAGGUGACUCAAAUAAGUGGAAUCACACACUCUUCAUCCUUUGAUGUCUGGCUUGUUUCACUCAGCAUAAUGUCUUCAAGGUUCAUGUAUGUUGUAGCAUGUGUCAGAAUUUCAUUCUUUUUUAAGGCUGAAUAAGGAGUCUUCAUUUUAAAAUUGAGGUAUUUUAGGAAGACCAUAUGGCUAUAGCUCACACAGGCGAUUAUUUCCAAUCCUCUCUUCUCUCUCCGAGGCCUCAUUGUAUGACUGUUCUAACAAGAUUUAAGGACAUGGUUUACCCGUGGUGUUCUUCUACCAGGAAUGGCUUUGCCCUUGAACUUGGGAGUCAGAUAGGCAGACAGGCAUUUGCAUCUGCAUUCUGCCCCUUAGGAAAUGUCAUGAUUUUGGUGGGCAUGCAGGUGGAUCAAACAAUAUGAUACUGUCCCUAUUUGAUCAUUUUUAGGUACAAAAAUGACAGAUGUGUCUGGCUCAACCUAAUUCUUUAUCUCUCUCCUCCCCAGUUAUCUUAUAUGAAAUAUAAAGUUAAAAAUAGUGCUUGCCUCCUAGGCCUGCUGUGAGAAUUGGAGGACAUGGUGUGGGUGCGGGGUGUCCUCGGAGCUCGGCUAGGAGCGGAGUGAGGGAGCUGCAGUGGGAGCCGCCUCCUUGGGGACAGGCAUCUCUCCUCCCCAGCCCAGGCUUUCAGGAGUUUCCUGCUGCUCUCUUUUGUCUCCUCUCCUGUGUCUGAUUCAUUGUACCUUCCUCAUCAGCUCAAGGCCAUGGAAAGAGGGUGCUCUUUCUGUCACUGCAUUUUAUUUUAUUUUUUGCUUUUUAGGGCCGCACUUGCGGUAUAUGGAGGUUCCCAGGCUAGGGGUCUAAUCGGAGCUGCAACACGACAGCUCACGGCAACGCCGGAUCCUUGACCUGCUGAGUGAGGCCAGGGAUCCAGCUCAGGUGACAUUUGAAAUGAGAGAGGACACAUGUCCUUCCCCUGAAGCAGGUUUGAGCAUGACCCUGCCUUCCAGGCUUUCCCUGCAUCGCUUAUUUCCUUGCCACUCUCCAUCCUCCCUCCCUCC
ensembl:lncRNA